CGGGUCUAAACUUCAAAACCCGA
rnacentral:siRNA from 1 species